rnacentral:rRNA from 1 species
AUUGAACGCUGGCGGAAUGCUUUACACAUGCAAGUCGAACGGUAGAGGGGGCAACCCCUUGAGAGUGGCGAACGGGUGAGUAAUAUAUCGGAACGUGCCCAGUCGUGGGGAUAACGUAGCGAAAGUUACGCUAAUACCGCAUACGAUCUAAGGAUGAAAGCGGGGGAUCGCAAGACCUCGCGCGAUUGGAGCGGCCGAUAUCAGAUUAGGUAGUUGGUGAGGUAAAGGCUCACCAAGCCAACGAUCUGUAGCAGGUCUGAGAGGACGACCAGCCACACUGGAACUGAGACACGGUCCAGACUCCUACGGGAGGCAGCAGUGGGGAAUUUUGGACAAUGGACGCAAGUCUGAUCCAGCCAUUCCGCGUGCAGGAUGAAGGCCCUCGGGUUGUAAACUGCUUUUGUACGGAACGAAACGGUGAGCUCUAAUACAGUUUGCUAAUGACGGUACCGUAAGAAUAAGCACCGGCCUAACUACGUAGCCAGCAG